GCACCACAAGGGGUGAAGCCUGCGGUUCAAUUGGAGUCAACGCCGGGAAUCUUACCAGGAGCGACAGCAGGAUGAAAGUCAAGUUGGAGACUUUACUAGACAAGCUGAGAGGUGGUGCAUGGCCGUCGUCAGCUCGUGCCGUGAGGCGUCCUGUUAAGUCAGGCAACGAGCGAGACCCCCACCGUUAAUUGCUUUCAGCGACCGUAGGGUUGCUGGAGAUAUUUAGCGGGACUGCUACCGCUAAGGUGGAGGAAGGAGGGGGCCACGGCAGGUCAGUAUGCCCCGAAACUCCUGGGCUACACGCGGGCUGCAAUGGUAGGUACAAUGAGUUUCGACCUCGAAAGGGGAAGGUAAUCCCGAAAACCUACCCCAGUUGUGACUGAGGGCUGAAACUCGCCCUCACGAAUCUGGAAUCCCUAGUAAUCGCGUGUCNACAUCGCACGGUG
rnacentral:rRNA from 1 species